GCGAACGCUGGCGGCAGGCCUAACACAUGCAAGUCGAGCGGCCGUAGCAAUACGGCAGCGGCAGACGGGAUAGUAACACGUGGGAACGCGCCCUUCGGUUCGGAAUAACUCAGGGAAACUUGAGCUAAUACCGGAUACGCCCUUACGGGGAAAGAUUUAUCGCCGAUGGAUGAACCCGCGUCCGAUUAGCUUGUUGGUGAGGUAAUGGCUCACCAAGGCUUCGAUCGGUAGCUGGUCUGAGAGGAUGACCAGCCACACUGGGACUGAGACACGGCCCAGACUCCUACGGGAGGCAGCAGUGGGGAAUAUUGGACAAUGGGCGCAAGCCUGAUCCAGCAAUGCCGCGUGAAUGAUGAAGGCCUUAGGGUUGUAAAGUUCUUUCGCUCGUGACGAUGAUGACGGUAACGAGAGAAGAAGCCCCGGCUAACUUCGU
rnacentral:rRNA from 1 species